rnacentral:tRNA from 1 species
GGAGUGUUAGUAAACAUUACGUAACCUUGUCAAGGUUAAAUCACAGGUGAAAACCCCGUACACCCCA